GAGAGUGUGGCGUAGUGGUUUGAGCGCUGGACUAGGACUCUGGAGAACAGGGUUCGAGUCUCGGCUCCGCCA